rnacentral:rRNA from 1 species
AUGGCUCAGAUUGAACGCUGGCGGCAGGCCUAACACAUGCAAGUCGAACGGUAACAGGAAGCAGCUUGCUGCUUGCUGACGAGUGGCGGACGGGUGAGUAAUGUCUGGGAAACUGCCCGAUGGAGGGGGAUAACUACUGGAAACGGUAGCUAAUACCGCAUAAUGUCGCAAGACCAAAGAGGGGGACCUUCGGGCCUCUUGCCAUCGGAUGUGCCCAGAUGGGAUUAGCUAGUUGGUGAGGUAACGGCUCACCAAGGCGACGAUCCCUAGCUGGUCUGAGAGGAUGACCGGCCACACUGGAACUGAGACACGGUCCAGACUCCUACGGGAGGCAGCAGUGGGGAAUAUUGCACAAUGGGCGCAAGCCUGAUGCAGCCAAUGCCGCGUGUAUGAAGAAGGCCUUCGGGUUGUAAAGUACUUUCAGCGGGGAGGAAGGGGUUAAGGUUAAUAACCUUAGCCAUUGACGUUACCCGCAGAAGAAGCACCGGCUAACUCCGUGCCAGCCGCCGC